GGACAGAGUGAGCAGAUCCUGAUGCAGAGAACAGCUCCAGAAGAAUCCAAGUUGGAACAGGGCUGUUUCAAACAAUGUAGGUUUUGGUCGCUCCCCAGGUGACCAGGCACCAUUAUCAUUCUGUUUGUGGAAACCGAGGCUCCUGGACCUUGGGGAUGCUGUUUCUGACCAACAGUGAACUUGCUCUGAGCUACUUGACCUGAGUCCCAGAGGAGGACCUGGACACAGCACUGUGCAGAUUUCCCUCAUGGCCCCCAGCCCUGGUUCUUUGUGGAGGCCCUGGCCACCAGCUCCCUCCCCCGCCUGGCACAUCACUGAACUUCCUCGGGCCUCAGUUUCUUUGUUGGCAGGCGACAGUGGAAACAAGACCCACCAGGCUCCACCUGUGUGAGGAGAAAGUGUGGAGAAGAGUGUGUGACCGCACAUGGCUUAGUGAGUGCCCGGUAAGUGUGAGCUCAGGAAGACCACUGCCCACCAUAGGCCUGUUCCCCGGCCUUCCAACAACUGCUCCAGCUAAGUGGCUGCCUCUUGGGAUCUGAAGAGUCCAUCUCCUGACCCAGACCAUGCGUCUGCAAAGCCACGUCUUUAGCUGUGCCCCUGAUGGGGGUCCUGAGCUCCCAUCUUUAUCCAUCUUGGCCAGCUACUGCCAACAGGCUUCAUGGGCCCAGGCUGCCUGUGUACCGUCUCUGAGUUAAGAGUCGUUUCUACAUGGAAUAAUGAUUGGGAAAAAGUCAAAAAAGAGUAAUAUUUUUGGACAUGUGUAAAAUAUACAAAAUUUUAAUAUCCAGGUCCAUAAAUAAAGUAUAUUGGGACAUAAGCAUGA